UACAGAGGGUGCAAGCGUUAAUCGGAAUUACUGGGCGUAAAGCGCGCGUAGUCGGUUAUUUAAGUCGGAUGUGAAAGCCCGGGGCUCAACCUCGGAACUGCCUUCGAUACUGGCUAUCUUGAGUACGGGAGAGGUGUGUGGAACUCCGAGUGUAGAGGUGAAAUUCGUAGAUAUUCGGAAGAACACCAGUGGCGAAGGCGACACACUGGCCCGUUACUGACGCUGAGGCGCGAAAGCGUGGGGAGCAAACAGG
rnacentral:rRNA from 1 species